UCGAGGGCGUUACACCGCAGGCAUUCAAGGAUGGCGUGCCCGACAGCUCGGAACGCGUGCGCCCGGUGCAUAGGAGGUAUAUGCCUCGGAGCACGCUGGCAGCAACGUGCACCGCGAGGUCUCGGAGUAGCCCAGCUAGUACAGAGCCCCUCCGUACUAGACGGACCCUACGACUUCGUCCUCGCCUCCACUCACAGUCUAUGCCGAUUUCCACAACAACACUGCCUUCAACUUUCUCAUUUCCCCGGCUCUGCAUACAAGGUGCAAACUAGGGCCGGGUUUUAUAAGUGUAAUGGGUUCAAGUGUGACCUUCCAGUCAAGAAAUGUCCUCAGCAAGAAGCUUAUGUGAAGAUCCCUUUUCUACUUUGAAUGAAUUUACUGCAUAUAUAUCUUAUUUAGUUUAGUUCAUCAUUCAGAGAUGCAUGGUGGAAUAUUUUUGUCCUUCACAGGUUAAAUGAGCAUUGCGUAAAAGUCUGUCUAAGUCUCUUUCUUAUUCUUCUAUAAACUGGAAGGCAAAUAUAGAUUUCUCACGCAUAGUUUAUCAAUCAUGAUCUCACCUCCUUUCUAUAUGCAGACAGUGUGGUACUCACUGGGGAUGCUUGCAAAUUGUAGUGGAUGUGUGCAGUGAUGGAGGGUUAUGUCCCUAUGGGUGACAGGCAUGGUGAUGUUCACCACUGAUGAAUCAACAAGUGUUCUCCAAAAGGCUGAAGGUGAAUAUCAAGGGCACCGCUCUUUGAUGAUGCGCACCCAUGGUUUGUUCACCACAAUGCAAUGACAAGAUGUUCUCAAUGGUAGAACAAAAGAAGUGGAACAAAUGGGUUUAACUUGUAUGCCUACUCCUGUUGCGAUAAACAUUUGGUUUCCAUCUUCAAGACAAGUUUCUGCUUGUGUAACGACAAUAUUGUUUGGGUCGUCCAGUUUUUAGCUAUCAUAUGUUCCAGG